UAGGAGAGGAGGUGCUACUCUGAUUGAUAUUUUAAGGCUGUAUAUAAAAUGGAAAAAUUCUUCUCACUCUCUGCUUGUCGUUCUGGGCUGCAUUUGUAUCUGGGGGCUCGAUGCUUCCUUGCUGUUGUAUUUGCACAUACUGGGAAUAAAGACAAACUGAAACAAUGCCAGAACCCACUAAAACAGCUGGGGUGUCUGACCCAUAUAAAAAAGGGAUAGGAUUUUAAUCGUGUUGCCUCAGGCAUCAUUUUGACAUUUUUGGUAAGCUCUGAG
rnacentral:lncRNA from 1 species